AUAUUGGGACCAGAAGCCCCUUUCCCGCUAGCACAUCUAAUCUUCAGAUAGCCACUCAGAACCUCCAUGGAUUUGGGUCCCACCUGAGCCUGGAAAAAGAAAGCCCAGAAGGACAGAGUUGAGGAGGCUGGGUCUAGCCAGCCAAGAGGGCCUAUCCAGAAAGGACAGGAGCCUGGCACUCUGUCAAGCCUUCCAGAGACCCCACGAGGAUGUCCCCCUCAUGGGCUGGCCAGCCUCGAAGAACUAGGCCUGUGCGGGUAUCCAGGAGAACCAUGAAGCCGGAGGAGAAGCCAGCCACAACGCUACGGCCGCUGGGGCUGACUGCCAAGGAGCGGACAAGCCCAGGGUUCAGCCCGCCACCCAGGCGGAACUCAUGCUGCAGACAGAGUGAGGCUGAGCUGAGGCAUCACCCCCCACCCCACCCUGUUCUCCCAAAGGUCUUGCUCACUACCCAAGCCCACAAACCUGGAAGGCUUGAGCCUUUCACUUUCAUUAAGUGAAAAGCCCAGAACCCCAUCCCCAUCACAGGACAGAGUCCCAUCCUCCAGGGUUUGCUGUUGUGGGUGAUAUGUCUCCAAAUGAAAUUAGCAAGUGGCAGGAACAUUUUGAGUCCCUUUUCUCUGCCAGGUCCCCAGAGAACUGAGCCAAUACUUAGAGAACUGGACACGCUCUGACCUGCAGGCCAGGCUUCCUGCAGUCCACAAAGCGCAGGGUAGAGUCAGAGCUGGCCAUAGUGAUGCUGGUGUGAGGGGCAGGCAUGACAGCUACAGCGGUCAGGGGCACCCGGCUGUCCAGUGGCUCCACAAUACGAAGGGUCUUCCCUGGGAAGAGAAGGCACAGUGGAUCUGGGGUCCCAGCAGCUGAAGAAGAACCUUGGCAUUCUAGUCCCUGGACUUACCCCAUACCUACCUCCCACCCCCCAGGGAUCCUCAGAAAAUGCUACAGAAGUCUCAUGACUUUCCCACCCUUCUGCUUCCAUGGCUAGGCCAGGUUCCCAUCCCCAGAGCAACUUCCUUUCUUCAGACAGCACCCAUGACCCAAGGCCACCUCCCUCUCUCUGUCCCAAUAUUACUCCGUCCCCUUCCCUUUUAAGUCACAUUUUUCCCUACAGUGAUGUCAAAAAGUAAUCAAGCAACCAUUUACCAAAGAUGUAGUAUGUGCUACACAUUAAACCAAACCCCUAUGUACAUUA